rnacentral:rRNA from 1 species
GACGAACGCUGGCGGCGUGCUUAACACAUGCAAGUCGAACGAUGAAACCUAGCUUGCUAGGUCGAUUAGUGGCGAACGGGUGAGUAACACGUGACUAACCUGCCCCUUUCUCUGGGAUAACGCUUCGAAAGGAGUGCUAAUACCGGAUACUCACAUCGAGGCACAUGCCUUGAGGUGGAAAGUUUUUCGGAAAGGGAUGGAGUCGCGGCCUAUCAGCUUGUUGGUGAGGUAACGGCCCACCAAGGCGACGACGGGUAGCCGGCCUGAGAGGGCGACCGGCCACACUGGGACUGAGACACGGCCCAGACUCCUACGGGAGGCAGCAGUGGGGAAUAUUGCACAAUGGGCGCAAGCCUGAUGCAGCGACGCCGCGUGAGGGAUGAAGGUCUUCGGAUUGUAAACCUCUUUCAGUAGGGACGAAGCGAAAGUGACGGUACCUAAAGAAGAAGCACCGGCUAACUACGUGCCAGCCGCCGCAGUAA